UUGCUAGUUACUAACAUUGAGUUGAGGACUCUAGUGAGACUGCCAGUGACAAACUGGAGGAAGGUGGGGAUGACGUCAAAUCAUCAUGCCCUUUAUGACCUGGGCUACAAACGUACUACAAUGGCCAAUACAAAGAGAUGCGAAGUUGUGAGAUGGAGCGAACCUCAAAAAAAUGGUCUCAGUUCAGAUUGAAGUCUGCAACUCGACUUCAUGAAGGCGGAAUCGCUAGUAAUCGCGGGUCAGCAGACCGCGGUGAAUACGUUCCCGGGUUUU
rnacentral:rRNA from 1 species